UACAACUUUGUCUUUUCAAUUUGUAGAUUUAUUUUGAUUGUAUGCACCUCGCUUUAGACUUUGUUUGCUAUGGUAAUUUCUAAACGCUUUCACAUUCCUUGGAAUUAGAACUUGGAAAAUAAGCAUAUUUGACAUUUAAGUGUUAAGUUUUAGGCAAGCAUCUUCCUUACCUGUAUUUCUGAUGUUCAUGAUAUUUUCAUAUAACAAUCAAGUGACAACAACAACAACAAUAAGUCUUGUCUUAUUAGGUGGGGUCAGCUAUAUGAAUUAAACAAAGCCAUUGAGCUCUAUUAUGUAUCAUGUUUACAAAGAGACUGUUUACAUGUAAAUUUUGUUUGAUCUUUCUAAGUUUUCUUCUGUCUUUCACUCUUUGUCCAUCUUCCAUCUCAUCCAUUCUUCUGAUUGGGUGCUCUAUCGGUCUUCUUCUCACGUAUCCGAAUCACCUGAGACGCAAUUCUAUCAUCUUUUGUACAAUAUGUGUUACUCCAACUCUCUCUCUUAUAUCUUCAUUCUUUAUUUCAUCCAAUCGCGUAUGACCACUCAUCCAUCUCAACACCUUCGUCUCUGCCACACUUAACAUAUGUUUGUGCUUUCCUUUGGCCGUUCAACACUCUGUGCCAGCAGUGCAAUAGAAUUUACCUUUAAGUUUUAAAGAUACUUUUUUUGUCACAUAAAACCAGACGCACUCCGUUAUUUUGACCAACUUGCUUGAAUUAUGUGAUUUACAUUUUGCUCAAUCUCUUCAUUAUCCUGUAUGAUGCAUCCAAAGUACUUAAAACUUUUAACUUUUCGUAGGAUAUUUUCUCCAAUCUUCACCUUUGUAUUAGGGUUUUUCCUUUGGCAGGCGAACUUACAUUCCAUAUAUUCUGUUUUGCUAUGGCUUAUGCACAAACCAUGUACUUCUAGAGCUUCUCUCCAUAAAUCUAACUUCUUAUUUAGGUCUUCUCUUGACUCUCUCAUAAGGACGAUAUUAUCGACAAAAAGCAUGCAUCAUGGCACAAGCUCUUGGACAUGCUCUAUGAGUACUUCCAAAAUUAAUGUGAAAAAGUAUGGACUUAAAGAUGAUACAAUAGCAAAGGCUUGUUCCACUAGGUGGGAUCGGCUACAUGGAUCAAACUAUAUCAUUGAGCUCUAUCGUGUAUCAUGUCUAUAGAGAGACUUUUUACAUGCAGAUCUCGUUUGACCACUUCAUGGAUAGUCUUCCUAGAUCUUCCUCUGCCUUUCAUCCCUCUUAUUUAUGUUCCAUAUCAUCCACUCUAUUGACCGAGUGCUCUAUCAGUCUUCUUCUCACAUGUUCAAACCACCUGAGACGCAAUUUUACUAUCAUUUUCACAAUAGGUGCUAUUCCAACUCUCUCUCUUAUAUUUUCAUUCUUUAUUCUAUCCAAUCGUGUAUGACUAUUCAUCCACCUCAACAUCUUCAUCUCUGUCACAGUUAACUUAUGUUCGUGCUCCCCUUUGGCCGCCUAACACUUUGUACCAUAAAGCUAGCUAGUCUGAUAAUAGUGCGAUAGAAUUUAUCUUUAAAUUUUAAAGGCACUUUUGUCACAUAUAAAACCAGAAGCACUUCGCCAUUUUGACCAACCUGUUUGGAUCCUAUGAUUUACAUCUUGUUCAAUCUCUCCAUUUUCCUGUACGAUGCAUCCAAGAUACUUAAAACUUCUAAUUUUUCGUAGAGAGUUUUUUUCAAUCUUCACCUCUGUAUUAGGGUUUUUCCUUAGGCGGCCGGACUUACAUUCCUUCUAUUCCGUCUUGUUACAGCUUAUGCGCAGACUAAGCACUUCUAGAUCUUCUCUACAUAAAUCCAACUUCUUAUUUACGUCUUUCCUUGACUCAACCAUAAGGACGAUAUCAUUGGCAAAAAGUAUGCACCAUGAGACAGAUUUUUGGAUAUGAUCUAUGAGUACUAAGACUAAUGUUAAAGGUAUCGAUUUAAGGAUAAUCUCUGGUGCAACCUAUACCAAUAGAAAAUUCCUCUGUCAUACCACCUUGAGUCUUCAUGCUAGUUGUAGUCUCAUCAUACAUGUUUUUAAUUGUACGAAAAUAUGUGAUCCUUACUCUUUUCUUUUCCAAAAUCUUUCAUAAGGCCUCCCUUGGCAUCCUAUCGUAUGCUUUUUUCAAAUCAAUAAACACCAUAUGUAGAUCCCUUUUAUUACUACGAUAUAUUUCCAUUAUUCUUCUUAACAGGUAUGUAGCUUUAGUGGUAGAUUUGUCUGGCAUAAAAUCAAAUUGGUUCUUUGUUACUUGUGUUUCUUGUUUCAACAUCUGUUCUAUUAUCAUUUCUCAUAACUUCAUGGUAUAACUCAUGAGCUUAAUCCCUCUAUAGUUUUUGCAACACUGUAUAUCCCCUUUAUUCUUGUAGAUAGGUAGAAUUGUAGGAAGGUGCACUUUCUCCACUCAUCUGGCAUUUUCUGACCUUAAAAUCUCUUUAAAAAGUUUGGUUAACCAAAUGAUGCCUUUCUCUCCAAGGCCCUUCCAAACUUCAAUCGAAGUAAUAUCGGAUGGAGAAAAGUAAAUGAGAAUAGAUGGGAGAUUCUUUAUUAAUAGUGUCUUUUUGUUUUUUGUUUUAAAAAUGAAUAAUAAAGCCAAAUAGUUGAUUUAAUAUGCAUGAAUCAUCCAUUGGAGACUUAAUUAAGGGAAUAGAAAACCUUACUGGAUAGAGCCAAAGAAGAGUAAAUUAAGGACAAAGAGGAACUAAUAUUGGAAGAAUUAGAACAGAAUGAUAUUGAAAAUGAUGGCUUAGCAAAUAUAAAGUGGAUCAACGAUGGUGAACUUUUCUUUGGUAUAGGUUUAAAUCCUAUUGAAUGCAAAUAAUUUGCAUUAUGUAUUUUAUAUUUAUAUAUUAUAAAUAUAACUCUAAAUAGAAUUUCUAUAUUUCUAAAAACUAAAAAUAAAAUAUAAAAAAAAAAGAUUUUGAAUGAUUUGAAUUGAACAAGAACCACUUAUCCUUUAUUUAUUAAUAUAAAUAUAGAAUAUCUAAUAUAAUUAAUUUAUUAUAUUAUUUAUUCAAAGAAAAGAUAUUAAACAUGAAAGAAUCAGAAUAAUAAUAUAAAUUUUAAUUUGAAAGUUGAAUUAGAAAGAAAUUAAAUUUUUAAUCAAUUUUUUUCUACUUGUUCCUAGAGUAAAGAUUUCCAUUUGUUCCUGAAUAGCUUCCUUUAAAAGGGCUUCUGCUUCCCCAGUGAAGACCUUUGAUUGAGACAUAUUGAGGGCAUCAUUUUCUUGUAGGUUUAUUUUGGUAAUGUGAAGAUCUUCCAAAAGAAAAUAUUUGAUGUUUGGAUAAAAUGGAUGAAUGUUUCAGGUUUUAUUUAGUAAUAGAAAAAUACUGCUCAAAAUUUAGCAGGACAAAUUGUUGUCCAACUAUUAAAAUUGCGUUGUUGUACAAAAUUAAAUAUUUGAUGGUAAAAUGCCAAUGAGAUAAAUGUUGCGUAGAUAAAUAGUAUCUAUUCUUGAAAAGAUAGUAGAAAUUUGCCAAGCUGUUAUACUCAUGUACAAAGGAUAUGUAGAAUACUAGAAUACACGGUAAAAAGAUUUGAUGAAGGGUAGCCCUAAAGCUAGAGGUUAAGAUAUCUAGAUGUAAAUUAUUUGUUAUCAAUAUGUAGGUUGUUCUUGUUAUUUUGGAUGGAUUAGUAAAUUUACCGACUGCUUCCCAUGGGGUGUUGUAAGAGAAGGAUUGAAGUGCAUUAUGAUAAAUGCAUGUGUUUAUGGUUCAGUUUCCGUUUUUAAGUAUCCUUUUUAUAAUUACUUAGAAACUUAAAGAAGAUGUGGGUAUGGUGACUAUGGUCCAUUUAAUAUUCUGU